CUUCCUUUGCUACUCAGAGCAGCAGAGGGUUCGUCCUCGGGCAAACAGCUUCCACCAUGGCGUCAACUGAGAUAGCAAGGCAAGCGGGUGAAGGAGCACGUGCUGUACCUCUGGCAGGCCAUGUUGGCUUUGACAGCAUGCCUGACCAGCUGGUCAACAAGUCCGUCAACCACGGAUUCUGCUUCAACAUCCUCUGUGUUGGUGAGACGGGUCUGGGCAAGUCCACUCUAAUGGACACGCUGUUCAACACCAAGUUUGAGGGUGAGCCCACCCAGCACAACCAGCCAGGAGUCACGCUCAAGUCCAACACCUAUGAACUCCAGGAGAGCAACGUUCGCCUCAAACUCACUGUUGUCAACACUGUGGGCUUUGGAGACCAGAUCAAUAAAGAAGACAGCUACAAGUCGAUUGUGGAGUUCAUUGAUGCCCAGUUUGAAGCAUAUCUACAGGAGGAGCUCAAGAUCAAGCGCACGCUACACAGCUACCACGACACCCGUAUCCACGCCUGCCUGUACUUCAUCGCUCCAACGGGACACUCGCUCAAAUCCCUGGACUUGGUCACCAUGAAAAAACUUGAUAGCAAGGUCAAUAUUAUCCCAAUCAUUGCCAAGUCGGACGCCAUCUCCAAGAGCGAGCUGGCCAAGUUCAAAAUCAAAAUCACCAGUGAACUGGUCAGCAACGGAGUGCAGAUUUACCAGUUUCCCACUGAUGAUGAAUCUGUGGCUGAGAUCAACUCCACUAUGAAUAGCCAUUUGCCGUUUGCCGUGGUGGGGAGCACAGAGGAAGUGAAGAUUGGGAACAAGAUGGUGAAGGCCCGGCAGUACCCCUGGGGGACAGUGCAGGUGGAAAAUGAGAAUCACUGUGACUUUGUCAAACUGCGAGAAAUGCUGAUUAGAGUGAACAUGGAGGACCUGCGAGAGCAGACACACACACGUCAUUAUGAGCUCUACCGCCGCUGCAAGCUGGAGGAGAUGGGCUUUAAGGACACGGACCCUGACAGCAAGCCCUUCAGUCUGCAGGAGACAUACGAAGCUAAGAGGAACGAGUUCAUGGGUGAGCUGCAGAAGAAAGAGGAAGAAAUGAGGCAAAUGUUUGUCCAAAGAGUGAAAGAGAAGGAGGCCGAGCUCAAAGAAGCGGAAAAAGAGCUGCAUGAGAAGUUUGACCGUUUGAAGAAGCUCCACCAGGACGAGAAAAAGAAACUGGAGGAAAAGAAGAAGUCCCUGGACGACGAGCUCAACACGUUCAAACAGAAAAAGACUGCUGCAGAGCUGUUGCAGAACCAAGCCCAGCAGGCAGGGGGCUCCACCACACUUAAGAGGGACAAAGAAAGGAAAAACUGAUGCGACUCCGUGCCUGUUUAGAAAAGGAAGACGACACUUGCACUGAGAAGCUAAGGAUUCCUGUAGAAAAAGUGCUCCCUUGUGGCCAUCCUGCUGUGAAUGAGUUCCCACCCCCAUCAUCCUUUACAGUACCCUUCCUCUUCCCCACCCAAACCUCAUAAUUCAAUCCUCCAUAUGCCCCCCUCCCCUCUGUGGAAGACGCUGGGCAUUGCUAUCAGUUUGACAUCACUUUUAUUUGCUGAAUGAUGCUUGUCUAUUUUGUGGGUUGUACAAGCGAUUAUUCAGCUUGUAUUUUUAUGCAAAUUUACAAAAUGCAUUCCAUAUUUGUUUUAUAUUCAGUGGUUCUUUGCAUGAUGUGAGCUUUUUUUAAUAUUAACAUACAUGACUACUGCUGUGAUGGGCAGAAAUGUAUUAAGGCUAAAGAGAAAUGUGCAUCAAGCAGGGGAGCCCCAGUGUGCAUGGACACCGUUCAAUCUGCCGUAGAUUACAGAGAAGAAAGGAUUAAAACUUCUGAGGAUCAAUGUUCUAUAAAACUGAAUCACCUUCAGAUUAAAGGGAAGCAGUCAAUGUAGCACCUUUACAAACUCCACCGAAGAGCAGAUUCGAAAAUAGCUACUCAUUAAAAAAAAAAGUGCUGGUUAAAGAAAAGCUACUUUCGGUUAUUAGUCGUUGAAUUGGUGUUCAAUUAGUUUGUUAUUAGUUUAAAAUUUGAAUCCUUAAGAUUUCAAUUCUGGCUGAUUUGCUGACAUGUGGCUGUGGUUUUGACAGCAAGAGUGUUUCUAUACUACAGCAAACAUGGAGCAGCUACUUUUAUCUCUGGCUGUGUAUCUGUUUAUUUUACAGCCAAACAAAAGUGUGUUGAGUAAUUUUUUUUAAAUAGAAAUUUUUCAGUCUCAUUUCAUUUUGUGCAAGUUGUUGGAAGUUAAAAUGCUUAUUUCUUAGAUGCAUUGUUGAUGAACUGGUGAAAAGUUUCCUUCACAAUAAAAGCUACCUUGUGAUUUCCUAGUGGCGUGCUUUUAAUGUGAAGCAGAACAGUUAGAACGAUCGCUAAUACAACUCUGGCGUGAUCAGAAAAAUAAAACAUUAACUGAAUUACAAACACACCUUGAGCCUUUUGACUCCCUCAUGUGUGGGAAAGGCAGAGCAGUAACGCUGCAGAUCAGUUACAGAAAAUAGUAAAUGCUUAAAAUCAAUGCAAUUGAGCAAAAAUUGGCUUUGACUGCAUAAUUAUCUUAAAGAUUAUAACUUUAAAAGCUCCUUUUAUUAUUGCCUCAGCCGUAUAAACUUUAGACUUGGAAUAAUAAGUGAACUGGAGAUUUAAUUUACAUCCCCUCGCUGAUGUUGUUUCACUUUAACCUCAUGCAUGAGUAGAUGUGAGCCUAAUCUCUUUGCCACUUCUCUCAUACCUCAUUCAUUGUCAUGUGUUAUGUGCAUACUUGUAUUAGCUUUCACAUUUGCACUUUGUUUUAUACCCAAAUGUGAUGUUUUAUAUAUUAAUGUUGUCAGUGCAAUUGUAACUUUCUUUUUAUUUUACUUACUAUGAAGGCACAUUUAAAAAUCAAUCACCAUGAUGUCCAUUGUCCUGCAGGGACCAGUGUUGUUUGUAUCAGUGUUUCGCAUAAAAGGAAAAUUCUCAAAGGAAAAUAAAGGCCAAUUUUUCACCAAAUAUUACAGCUGUGGCCAUAAUCAUUGUGUAUUACCAGUAUUGCUGUAAAUUCGGAGCUCAAGUAAAAUUUUAAUGAACCAGUGGACAAAGUGGGUAUGUUGGAUUUAAAUGAUGAAGCAAGUGAUUGUUGAUGAAUUGCAUUGAUUUAAUGCUGACGCCAAUGAGCAUUAAACCUCUCUGUCUGGAGGACAUUGUGCUCCUAAGGUUUCUCACAGCUUUGGUUAAUAUCCUUGGUCCAUUCAACUUAAAAUCCUCAGGUAUGUUUAUUUCCUGAUGCUCACAACCAUCAGGCAUCUGUUGACCUCAGUUAAUCGUUGAUUUUCUUCGUCUAACAAAAGAGAGAAUUGCAUAAACACACUUGAUUCCACAUGAUACCAGGGACAACAUGGCUCAGUAGAAGAGCAGUUCUCUCCUCUUAAUGCUCAGCUCACUGGUCUGUGUGAUUUCACUUUCCUUUGCAGUAAUCCCUGGCUCUGCACUGAGUAGGUCCUCAACCCUCAAGCUUUGCUAAGGGACCAGCCUUUGUGGGUACUGAGUACCUCAAAUGUGACCAGAGGCUUUGUGGACCCCAUCCUUCAGGGCUUCUAAAUCAUUACCUGCUCUGCUAUAAUAUGGGUUAAUGUGUAUGUGCUUCACUGCUGCUCUAAUCUCACCUUGAGCGACCUAACCCUUGAUUUAUUGCCUCUGCUUAAGCUUACAUGUACUGUUUUUGCUGUGACUAACACCUUUUCCACCUCAUGUGAUGGAGAUGACUUGCGCACUUGUUCAUUUAUUGUUAUAGCUGGAUAGUAUUUACAUUUUUGUGCACUUAAGUGAACCACAGACGAGAUGAUGGAAUCAGAGUGGCCACCGUAUAAUCUCAUGUCUUUUUACUUUAAUGUAUUAUUUGAAUGAUCACAGGGAUUUUCCCACCCUGAUUCUGUAUUUAUGAUAAUCAAACCUAAAGCUACACACUCCCUGAUAUCAGAUUCACGUCUAAAUCUUUUUUUUUUUGUAAGUGUUCCUGCUUUGCUAUCUUCUCUAACUGCCGGCUUUGUUUCUCUUUGUCUCUUUAGCUUCUUUUAAUCUGUCUUGACCACCUGAAGAGGGGAAUGCAGCUUCAGCAAGAACUAAGCACCCUUUACCUCUUCCUGUUUUUCUCGCUGUAUCGACCUUUUUAUUCUCCCCCCGUUAAAUUUCCUUUUGUUGAAUAUGGCCUUAUGUGGACUCGCAUGGUAUUUCUGACCACCUAUUGAAGCUCUAAACCCAGGCAGGUCGGGAACCGGGCACAGUUUAAAUCUGCUGUAAUGUCUUAAUGUACAUAGAGAGACUCUCGUAGUUAAUAGAAAGUUGCCAGUUGGGGUUCACACAUUUGCAGGACUCACAUGUGGAAUCAUUAUUUGAUCUUUACUUGAAAUAAAAUUGCUAUGACCUGCACUAUGCACACAUCUUUUCAUUAGGAUUCCAAAUUUUUAGGAUAAAACGCUACAUCAAGGCUUGCUGAUUGAAAACAAACGAAUGAAGGACAGAAGCACUUAAUGCACCGCGUGUAAUGCAUCACAAAGUACAGUUUAAUGAUUUGAUGUGUAGAAAUCUUUUGCUUCCAGGUGUUUUUGAGCAUUGAAAUUAAGUUAGAGCCAUAGUCAUGCAAAAGCCAAAGCAGUGUUUCGGAUGCCCAUGUUUACAUGUCCCAGCUGAAUACCAUGGAGGUCACAUGUCAUGGCCUUUUAUUACACAUUGUGCUUUAAUAUUCACCAGCCUAUUCUAUAUUUUGCAUGCAUCUUUUUCUUUUCUUUUUUUAAAAAAUUAAUUACUGCUGUGAUCUUUGACCUGCUUGUUUUAAUCCCCGAAAAUAACUCAAGUUUUGCGGUCUGUUUCCUCCAUUGCUGUUUUUCUUCAAAAUGGUGCAUAUUAUUAUUAAUGUAUAUUUGCUCUGUCCUAUGAUUUCAGCUCCCAUUUUGCCAAAUAUUAGUAUAAGAUGGAGUUGAACUGAAUCCCAGAUAGGAGUAUUAAAAAAUACUCGUGCAUUUAUAUAAUUUAUAAGGAUAUAUUUUGUGUAUUGAAGUGGAGACUUGUUGUUUAUUACCUAUGAUCUUUGGACGUGACUCUGAGUGUAAAGUGACAUUUUGGUGUCAGGAAUUGCCAUACAUUUUUCUAGUAUCAGUCAUCACCUCUUGUAGUCAAAACCUCUCCCACACUACAAAUUAUUCAGUAUCUUACUUUAGUUUGAUUCCAUUGAUGUACAUUUUGAAUAAAAAAUCUGAUCCAAA